UACAGAGGUGGCAAGCGUUGUUCGGAAUUACUGGGCGUAAAGGGCGCGUAGGCGGUUCGUUAAGUCCUGUGUGAAAUCCCCCGGCUCAACUGGGGAACUGCACAGGAAACGAGCGGGCUUGAGUUCGGGAGAGGGAAGCGGAAUUCCGGGUGUAGCGGUGAAAUGCGUAGAUAUCCGGAGGAACACCGGUGGCGAAGGCGGCUUCCUGGACCGACACUGACGCUGAGGCGCGAAAGCUAGGGGAGCAAACGGG
rnacentral:rRNA from 1 species